rnacentral:rRNA from 1 species
CCCUUGGCCCUUGACAUCCUCAAGAACUUUCCAGAGAUGGAUUGGUGCCUUCGGGAACUGUGACACAGGUGCUGCAUGGCUGUCGUCAGCUCGUGUUGUGAAAUGUUGGGUUAAGUCCCGCAACGAGCGCAACCCUUAUCCUUUGUUGCCAGCGCCUCGGCCGGGAACUCAAAGGAGACUGCCGGUGAUAAACUGGAGGAAGGUGGGGAUGACGUCAAGUCAUCAUGGCCCUUACGACCAGGGCUACACACGUGCUACAAUGGCGCAUACAAAGAGAAGCGACCUCGCGAGAGGAAGCGGACCUCAUAAAGCGCAUCGUAGUCCGGAUUGGAGUCUGCAACUCGACUCCAUGAAGUCGGAAUCGCUAGUAAUCGUAAAUCAAAAUGCUACGGUGAAUACG